rnacentral:rRNA from 1 species
UGGGGAAUCUUGGACAAUGGGCGAAAGCCUGAUCCAGCGACGCCGCGUGGGGGAUGAAGCCCUUCGGGGUGUAAACCCCUGUUGCGAGGGAGGAAUAAGGCCUGGAGGAAAUGCCAGGCCGAUGACUGUACCUCGCGAGGAAGCCCCGGCUAACUACGUGCCAGCAGCCGCGGUAAUACGUAGGGGGCGAGCGUUACCCGGAUUCACUGGGCGUAAAGCGGGUGUAGGCGGCUCGGUAAGUCGGGUGUGAAAUCCCACAGCUCAACGGUUGGGCUGCACCUGAUACUUCCGGGCUAGAGGGCGGUAGAGGAGAGCGGAACUCCCGGUGUAGCGGUGAAAUGCGUAGAUAUCGGGAGGAACGCCGGUGGCGAAGGCGGCUCUCUGGGCCGUUCCUGACGCUGAGGCCCGAAAGCUGGGGGAGC